rnacentral:lncRNA from 1 species
GUGGUUCAAGGCCGUGGGGCGAAGCUCCUGUCGGCGACAGAGAACGCAUAAGUGACACGGCGUCCCCGCCGCGAGACCCCGGGAGGGUUAGAGUCUCGCGUUGCCCCGGGCUGCGGACCAGAGAGCUUUUCAGAGGGUUGCUUGGCUUCUCAGGCCCCGCAUCCCGGUAUCCGGCUGCAGCACCGCCUCCCAGUCGGGGACCUGGCACCCACGCCAUUCUGGACCCGUGGGCUGCCUCCGAUUUUCUUUUCCGCGGAGAAACUAUGAUCUCGUCGAUGAGCUCCUUGCGAGUGUGGGCACGCUGGGGACGGCCCGAAGCUCUCAAUCCGGACGCGCGGCCUCCAGCCCUUGCCGCUGCUGUUGGGUCGACGCACAGUGCGUGACCUUCCGAGACUGGGGACGGAAUCAGAGGCUCCUCGGGACUUCUUCCCAAAGGUUCUCGCCUGUACAGAGCACGCCACGCCGCGUCUGUCAACCUGCGUUUGUGCGUUUAGAGCGGUGAGAAUCUUAACCGCCGGAUCUUCCCCCGUCAUGCCUCCGCCGGCUCCGCAGUACGUGGACUGGCUAGCGAGAGAGCUAAGCACGCAGCGAAAGCAGAAGACACUCACAGGACAGAACCGUUUCUGGUUCAUCAACGGCGGCGUGCGAGACACUCCCGAGACGGUGCAUGAGGUCUACGAAGAGCUGAAGACGGUGAGGAGGGAAGAAAGGAAAGCACGUUCGCGACACACACAACAAUGAACGGCAGUUUGCGAAACUGGGGCCAUGUAUGGGAGACCGGAUAUUUCCGCUUGCUGGCUCCAGCAUCGGACGCAUUCUGUGAUGGGAAAGAGACCGCCGACACUGGUUGGGCGAAAUUAACACAUGUGCACCCACAGAUACGCACGCUUCAGCGGGGCUAGCAGCCCUGAGGACGCCCUCUUGCAUGAAAUAACGGCACGAUCCAUCAUGUUUUUUCACGAGAAAAACUCAUAUUCAGUAUCCCAGGGACUAUAACAUCUCUGUUUAUCCGAUUUGAGUUACACUAAGGUGAACACAUAUGAUCCAGUAUAACGGUAUGCUCCUGAAUGUACGGUUCACGCUGCAACAAAGGACUUUCUGCGCCGGGACGUGCCGAGCCGGACUGCAGCGGAC